rnacentral:miRNA from 1 species
UACUGGCCUGCCAAGUCGGUG